rnacentral:rRNA from 1 species
GACGAACGCUGGCGGCGUGCUUAACACAUGCAAGUCGAACGGAAAGGCCCUGCUUGCUUGGGGUGCUCGAGUGGCGAACGGGGGAGGAACACGUGAGUAACCGGCCCUUGACUUUGGGAUAACUUCAGGAAACUGGGGCUAAUACCGGAUAGGAGCUGCUGCUGCAGGGUGGGGGUGGGAAAGUUUCGGCCGGAGGGGAUGGACGCGCGGCUGACGGGCUUGUUGGUGGGGUAGUGGUUUACCAAGUCAUUGGCGGGUAGGCGGCAUGAGAGGGUGAACGGCGUCCUGAGGACUAAGGGACGGCCCAGUCUGCUACGGGAGGCAGUAGUGGGGAGUAUUGCACAGUGAGCGGGAGCCUGAUGCAGAAGCGCCGGGUGUGGGAUGACGGUCUUCUGGUUAUGAACCGCUUUCGCCUGUGACGCCGCGUGAGUGACGGUACUGAGUAAAGAAGCACCGGCUAACUACGUG